rnacentral:misc_RNA from 1 species
AGAUGGAGCAAUCAUGUCAGCAAUGAAGUCCGUGUACUGGCUAGUUCAAGAGGGCAUAGCAAUUCGAAAGUUUGGAAGCCUAAUAGAGUUGCUACGGCACCUGGAUUGCCCCAACCUUUCAUACUUAGACCAAGGAGGCAAUGCAAAGUAUAAUUCUGAUACAGCAGGGUGGGAUAUGGUUGCUGCUAUUGCUGCCACAGUUGAGGAAGACUUGCUUCAGAAAAUGAAGUCUUCACCAUUUCUAACAAUACUAGCAGACGAGAGCACUGAUAUAACAGUAACAAAAAAGUUGGUUAUAUGUGUCAGACUUUUAGAUGAUAACUUUGUUCCUUCUACCCACUUUGUAGCCGACAUAAAUGUCACAGAUGGCAAGGGUGCCACAGUUGCAGCAGUUAUCAAAUAUUAAAUCAAAGGAGAUCCCCCUUAGUAAGAUAUAUGGUUUUGGUUCUGAUGGUGCAGCGAGCAUGACCAGCAUGGGAAAUGGAGUUGCAGGCAGACUGCUUGCUGAAAAUCCUGCGAUGGUUCACAUACACUGUAUUGCCCACAGAUUGGCUUUAUGUACUAGCCAGGCAGCAAAUGCUAUAGACUAUAUGAAGGACUAUCAAUCAACUAUUACCAGUAUAUUUUAUUACUUUAAAGCAUCAUCUGUCAGGGUAAACAGAAUCACAGCUAUUCAGGAGCUGCUGGAUGAACCUAUUUUAAAGUGCAAUGAAGUCCAUGAGGUUCGAUGGUUGCCCUACUACAAAGCAAUAGAAACAAUCUACAGGACUUAUGGGUCAUUAGUGUCCUAUAUGUCUGAAAUGGGGGCAAGUGAUGCCAAGGCAAAAGGUUUUGCAAAGAAACUUUCACAAUUCAGUUUUGUUUUUGUCACCCAUAUGCUUUUGUCCAUCCUCAGCAUUGUCACAGAGCUAUGUUUACUCUUCCAAAAGAAAGAUCUUGACCCAGCCUUGGUGGAUGUUAAUGUGAAGCAUGCAUUGAGAGAACUGCAAAAGCACAGGGACCAUGCCACAAGUAGUGAAGGGUUGUCUGGUAAACCUGGCAGCUACAUCGAGGAAUUUCUCCUGAAGGUGGGAACAGGUCAACGUAAUUUCUUCAGGGACCACCUUCUGACUUGUUGUGCUAAUUAUGAAAAACAAUGCAAGGCAAUUCAGUGUCAAUUUAUUGACAAUCUCAUUUAACAACAUAAAUGCCAGAUUUCCCCAGGAUCACUUGGAUAUGGUAACAGCAUUUGGGUAUUUGAGCAUGAGACCACUAAGCUUUUUGUCUGAGUCAGAAAGAGAAAAUUGGGGUGAAGUCCCUAUACAGAAACUUGCUAGCCAUUAUGGUAACAUUAUUGAACAUCAUGGGUCCAAAUCAGUGCCAAUAAUAAUUGAAAAACAAGGUAUGAGUGAAUGGUCUAAACUCAAAGAAUUGGUUUUCAGAAUGGGGUAUGCGAGAGAUGCCACCUGCAAACUGUGGAGCAUUAUCAAAACUCACCAUAGUGAAGACUUUCCCAAUUUGUUGAAGCUGGCUGCAAUCUCCCUCAUCCUUCCGAUACACACGUCAGAUUGUGAGAGAACAUUAAGUUCUCAAAACUACAUCAAAAAACCACAGAACAAACAGACUGUCUGAAACAAGACUUCAGCAGUGCUUGGUCAUUAUGAUAGAAGGAAAGGCAAUUGGGGACUUUGACUUUAAGAGUGCCUUAGAUAUUUGGAAAAAGGAAAAGAAAUGUAGAAUUUAUAACAAGCAGUGAGCUGUACACUUUGGAGUGGUUACAAGGCAGCAAGAGAACUGGUAUAGACCUGUCAUUCAGGAUUAAUUAGUGAUUUAUGUCAUCCAGUGAUUCAUGUCUAGAUGUCUUACCAGUACACCUGUGGCAGAGUACCCCAGAAUGGACCUUUUUCUGACAAAAAGGGCAGUUCUUUCGAACCCCCGAACCCCCCUGGCUACAGGCCUGCUACCUGACAGCAACAGCCAGCAAACAAAGCCACGUGUUAUCCUUUCCACCUUACUUAACUGCAGGCAAUCCGUCAAUAGAGAGUGCAGUGAAAAAAUUACAAAUGGUUUAAAAUUAACAUUUAAUAUGUAGUAUGCAUUUUCAACUGAGAACAAAAUUAUUAAAGGCAUUUCUUCAUCUGAAUCAUAAAUGGUACCAGACAGUACCAGAAGCGAUAUACUGUUAAUACUAUACUGUUAAUAUUCCUGUUUAUAUUCCUCCAAUGAAAUGCAGAUUAUGUAUUUGUAAAAAACACAUCAACUUAUUAGCUCUUGGUAGUUUUCACGCAGCCUGGUUUUGGUUGAAAUAAGAAUUUUCCUCAUGUACUCUUAAAUAUGAAUCUGCACUUAAGUGUGAAACUGAGUGAUCCUGAUGACCACAGUGUACAGCUCUUCGUAUCUUUUGUGAUCUUAUGUGGGCAGUUUGCCUCUAUGACAUAUACUUGUAUAUAUAUGAACAAUGAACAGUUCACUUAAUAAUGUGAUGCUCAUAUAGACCAAUAUAUAUCUUGAUCAUAAAGUUUGUUUAUUGUUUACAUUGCAUAAUUUAGUCUUUUACAAAGCCUUUUUCUGUUUUUGUUUUUUUUUUAACUUGCAGUAAUGAAUAAACUUAGAAUAGUUAUCAUUGUCA